rnacentral:rRNA from 1 species
GUGCACCAGUCGCGAAACCUCCGCAAUGCGCGAAAGCGCGACGGGGCCACCCCGAGUGCCGCCCGCUGAGGGUGGCUUUUCCCCGGUGUAGACAGCCGGGGGGAUAAGGAGAGGGCAAGUCUGGUGUCAGCCGCCGCGGUAAUACCAGCUCCCCGAGUGGUGGGGACGAUUAUUGGGCCUAAAGCGUCCGUAGCCGGCCCAGCAAGUCCUCCGUUAAAUCCAGCGAUCCAAUCGCUGGACUGCGGGGGAUACUGCUGGGCUAGGGGGCGGGAGAGGCCGGCGGUAUUCCCGGGGUAGGGGUGAAAUCCUAUAAUCCCGGGAGGACCACCAGUGGCGAAGGCUGCCGGCUGGAACGCGCCCGACGGUGAGGGACGAAAGCCGGGGGAGCGAACCGGAUUAGAUACCCGUGUAGU